rnacentral:misc_RNA from 1 species
UGCAAAGUUUCCAGUGCUAUCAGAAAUGGCUCUGCUGCUCCAGCCACAUGCUUCAAUUUCUUCGAUCUCAUCUUCUUCUUCAACUUUCUUCGCGCAACGCUCGAAGUUCUUGGCCCCAAAACCUCAAAAAAUUAUUAUCAAAAGAGUCACCAGCGAUUCUUCAUCACCCUGCAAAGCAUCAUGGCAAGAGCUUGCUGGAGUUCUUGUAUUCUCGGCGAUUCCUUUCACGGCGGUGAAAGCCAUUGCCAAUAGCCCCCUGGGUGAGUCGCUUCAGCGUCGAAUGGAGGAGAAGAAGAAAGUUGCAAUCCAGG